rnacentral:rRNA from 1 species
CCUUCGGGUUGUAAACCUCUUUCAGCAGGGAAGAAGCGCAAGUGACGGUACCUGCAGAAGAAGCGCCGGCUAACUACGUGCCAGCAGCCGCGGUAAUACGUAGGGCGCAAGCGUUGUCCGGAAUUAUUGGGCGUAAAGAGCUCGUAGGCGGCUUGUCACGUCGGGUGUGAAAGCCCGGGCUUAACCCCGGGUCUGCAUCCGAUACGGGCAGGCUAGAGUGUGGUAGGGGAGAUCGGAAUUCCUGGUGUAGCGGUGAAAUGCGCAGAUAUCAGGAGGAACACCGGUGGCGAAGGCGGAUCUCUGGGCCAUUACUGACGCUGAGGAGCGAAAGCGUGGGGAGCGAACAGGAUUAGAUACCCUGGUAGUCCACGCCGUAAACGUUGGGAACUAGGUGUUGGCGACAUUCCACGUCGUCGGUGCCGCAGCUAACGCAUUAAGUUCC